UAAGUAAAUCAGAUAGUCGCAAGCUUAGGCUUGAGGAAAGUCGGAGCUCCACAGGGCGAGGAUGCUGGUUAACGGCCAGUGGGGGUGACCCUAAGGAAAGUGCCACAGAAACAAACCGCCUAGCCUUCAGAAGGUUGGGUAAGGGUGGAAAGGUAAGGUAAGAGCUUACCAGCAUUUAGGUGACUAAAUGGCUCGGCAAACCCCAUCUGGAGCAAGACCGAAUAGGGGAACUUUAUAGUGGCCCGCUUCUGUUCCCGGGUUAGGUUGCUGGAGGUAUUAGGUAACUAAUAUCCUAGAUAGAUGACUAUCAAAUACAGAACUCCGCUUAUAGAUUUACUUACAUU
rnacentral:RNase_P_RNA from 1 species